GGUGGCUUGCCCGAGUGGUCUAAGGGGCUCGAUUCAAGAUCGAGUGCAAGCAAUUGCGCGUGGGUUCAAACCCCACAGCCACCA
rnacentral:tRNA from 1 species